AAUCUUCCACAAUGGACGAAAGUCUGAUGGAGCAACGCCGCGUGAGCGAAGAAGGUUUUCGGGUCGGAAAGCUCUGUUGCGAGGGAAGAACAAGUACGGGAGUAACUCCCUGUACCUUGACAGUUCCCUGUCAGCAAGCCCCGUCUUACUAAGGUCCCGCAGCCGCGGUAAUACGUAGGUGGCAAGCGUUGGCCGGAAUUAUUGGGCGUAAAGCGCGCGCAGGCGGUCCUAUAAGUCUGAUGUGAAAGCCCACGGCUCAACCGUGGAGGGACAUUGGAAACUGGAGGACUUGAGUACAGAAGAGGAAAGCGGAAUUCCACGUGUAGCGGUGAAAUGCGUAGAGAUGUGGAGGAACACCAGUGGCGAAGGCGGCUUUCUGGUCUGUAACUGACGCUGAGGCGCGAAAGCGUGGGGAGCAAACA
rnacentral:rRNA from 1 species